rnacentral:rRNA from 1 species
GAUGAACGCUAGCUACAGGCUUAACACAUGCAAGUCCGAGGGGCAGCAUUUUAGUUUGCUUUGCAAACUGAAGAUGGCGACCGGCGCACGGGUGAGUAACACGUAUCCAACCUGCCGAUAACUCCGGGAUAGCCUUUCGAAAGAAAGAUUAAUACCGGAUAGUAUACGAAUAUCGCAUGAUAUUUUUAUUAAAGAAUUUCGGUUAUCGAUGGGGAUGCGUUCCAUUAGUUUGUUGGCGGGGUAACGGCCCACCAAGACUACGAUGGAUAGGGGUUCUGAGAGGAAGGUCCCCCACAUUGGAACUGAGACACGGUCCAAACUCCUACGGGAGGCAGCAGUGAGGAAUAUUGGUCAAUGGGCGCGAGCCUGAACCAGCCAAGUAGCGUGAAGGAUGAAGGCUCUAUGGGUCGUAAACUUCUUUUAUAUGGGAAUAAAGUUUUCCACGUGUGGAAUUUUGUAUGUACCAUAUGAAUAAGGAUCGGCUAACUCCGUGCCAGCAGCCGCGGUAAUACGGAGGAUUCCGAGCGUUAUCCGGAUUUAUUGGGUUUAAAGGGAGCGUAGGUGGAUUGUUAAGUCAGCUGUGAAAGUUUGCGGCUCAACCGUAAAAUUGCAGUUGAAACUGGCAGUCUUGAGUACAGUAGAGGUGGGCGGAAUUCGUGGUGUAGCGGUGAAAUGCUUAGAUAUCACGAAGAACUCCGAUUGCGAAGGCAGCUCACUAGACUGUCACUGACACUGAUGCUCGAAAGUGUGGGUAUCAAACAGGAUUAGAUACCCUGGUAGUCCACACAGUAAACGAUGAAUACUCGCUGUUUGCGAUAUACAGUAAGCGGCCAAGCGAAAGCAUUAAGUAUUCCACCUGGGGAGUACGCCGGCAACGGUGAAACUCAAAGGAAUUGACGGGGGCCCGCACAAGCGGAGGAACAUGUGGUUUAAUUCGAUGAUACGCGAGGAACCUUACCCGGGCUUAAAUUGCAACAGAAUAUAUUGGAAACAGUAUAGCCGUAAGGCUGUUGUGAAGGUGCUGCAUGGUUGUCGUCAGCUCGUGCCGUGAGGUGUCGGCUUAAGUGCCAUAACGAGCGCAACCCUUAUCUUUAGUUACUAACAGGUUAUGCUGAGGACUCUAGAGAGACUGCCGUCGUAAGAUGUGAGGAAGGUGGGGAUGACGUCAAAUCAGCACGGCCCUUACGUCCGGGGCUACACACGUGUUACAAUGGGGGGUACAGAAGGCGGCUACCUGGUGACAGGAUGCUAAUCCCAAAAACCUCUCUCAGUUCGGAUCGAAGUCUGCAACCCGACUUCGUGAAGCUGGAUUCGCUAGUAAUCGCGCAUCAGCCAUGGCGCGGUGAAUACGUUCCCGGGCCU